rnacentral:lncRNA from 1 species
GGUGGUCCGAUUUUGUCGUGCCUUCUGCUGCCUAUCAGAGUACUCCUCAGUGCUCCAUCGGUCAUAGAGGGCCUCCCAUAUAUUCAUCCAUAUCCAGUAAUCUAUGUAAGACUUCCAAUCCGAUGGUAAUUCAAAAUUGAAGUGCUCUAUGGCAGACUGUCUAAAGCUUUAUAGCCCAUUUCAGAUCCUACGUGUGGUCACCUUUUCGAAGGUCUGACAGCCAGCAUCU